rnacentral:rRNA from 1 species
UAAUANAUGCAAGUCGAGCGAGCGGACCAACAGAUUUACUUCGGUAAUGACGUUGGGAAAGCGAGCGGCGGAUGGGUGAGUAACACGUGGGGAACCUGCCCCUAAGUCUGGGAUACCAUUUGGAAACAGGUGCUAAUACCGGAUAAUAAAGCAGAUCGCAUGAUCAGCUUUUGAAAGGCGGCGUAAGCUGUCGCUAAGGGAUGGCCCCGCGGUGCAUUAGCUAGUUGGUAAGGUAACGGCUUACCAAGGCGACGAUGCAUAGCCGAGUUGAGAGACUGAUCGGCCACAUUGGGACUGAGACACGGCCCAAACUCCUACGGGAGGCAGCAGUAGGGAAUCUUCCACAAUGGACGCAAGUCUGAUGGAGCAACGCCGCGUGAGUGAAGAAGGUUUUCGGAUCGUAAAGCUCUGUUGUUGGUGAAGAAGGAUAGAGGUAGUAACUGGCCUUUAUUUGACGGUAAUCAACCAGAAAGUCACGGCUAACUACGUGCCAGCAGCCGCGGUAAUACGUAGUGGCAAGCGUUGUCCGGAUUUAUUGGGCGUAACGCGAGCGCAGGCGGAAUA